CAGACGCAACAGCUCAACUCCAAAGUAUUUUAUUGAAUAAUGUUACUAUGGGCUUUCUUUGUGACCUCAAGGCUGUGAUUCCUGACUGUUGGAAAUCUUGGCAGGAAGACAGAGAGAGAGAGAGAGAGAGAUAGACAGAGAGACAGACAAAGAGAGAGACAGACAGACAGAGAGACACACAGGGAGACAGAGAGACAGAGUGGGGCUCACAGGUCUGUUUCCACUCCUUCAUGGCUUUGUGUAAUCUUGGCUAAGACUCUGCCCUGUUCCUGACUUCCCUUUACCAUUACAUCCAAUGGGGAAGUUGGAGCCAGAUGACCUCUGAGGUCUUUUUUAGCUCUCCAUCCCACCCAAACCUACAAGCUCUUUCAGAUUCAUGCUCCAUCAGGCCAAGAAACUCUGCCAGGCCUCCCCACCCCCAUGCCCUAUGUGACUUCCUACCCACCCAGAGACAUCGGAGGGGAGGGUUCCAUGGUUCUUUAGGUACUAGUUCCUAACUUUGUCCCUAAGUUCAACACAUGUCCAGGGGUCUUGGGUCUUGGGGUUAGUAGCCACUAUUAUUUUUUUACAUCGGUAGUCGAGACUCUAGCAGGCUUUGAGUGGGUCCCAUGGUAUCUCUCACUUCCCAUUCCCAGCCCUUACAGGACGAUGAGACAAUCAGAAGCUGACUUCAACCUCGGUGGCUCCCUCUGAGCUCUGGAGAUGUCAGCAUCCAACUUGAUAAGGUUAUAUUUCCUCUCCUGCCAACCCAGACCCAUCCUCUAUCCACACCAACCUAGAGUCAGCUCCCUAAGCCUCCCUACACUCUCAGACUCCAUUAGCUCCUGCCCCCUCCAAAUCCUCCCCCACUCAUUUCCACCUCCCCAAUUGCUGCUGCCUGUGUCUGGAAGUGACAGGGGAUUUUGUGACUGACUACUGCCAUUGCUGUGCCUGGAGAUGGAUAGAGAGGGCCUUGGGAACCAGGAAAAAUGCCUGCUAGCCCUCAUCUGUGUGUCCAGACAUCCCCCUAAGACAUUCCUCUGUUGCCACCCCAUUAAAAAUACCUUGCCCUUGGUAUGUUCUGAAGCAGGAGGGCUCCAAUAUGGCCUCUGCCUAUUCAUGCCAAGGGGUCCUUGUCCUUUCUCUCUCUCAAUUCCUUCUGAGGAGACCUUAAAGUUUCUUUAUACAAACCUCCAUAGAAAAAGUAUUGUCUACUUCAGUUAUAUAUACAUUUAUGUGUGUAUGCAGUCAUGGUUAUACACUUUCAUUUACAGAAAAAUCAAUAUUUAUAUAUAUUUAUAUGGAAUAGAUGAUAACUCAUAUGGAGAAUAUAAACAUACUCCAGUUCUCUAUAUAAAUAUUCCCCUACUAUUUCUCUAUUCAUUAGUACAUAUAUAUUCACUCUAUAUUAAUUUAUAUGAUUCAUUCUUCAUCAAUGAGUAUUCAUUAUAUAUUCUUUAUUUUUUUCCUUUCACUUAAGCCUAUGGACAAAACUAAAGAAGCCCAGAACCCCUGUUUCUAUAGGUAACCUGCCAACCGUGUCCCAUUUUUUGUGAAAGCAAUAGACCAAAGCAAAGAAUUUUAUUUUAUAAAGUCACUAUGGGCUUUCUUUGUGACCUCAAGCCUGUGAUGCCUGAUUGGGGACCAUGGCCAAGGUGUAACACAGUAGACUUGUAGGGAGAAAGAGAACUCAGUUCACAGGUCUGUGCCUUCCCCUUCCUCCUUGUGUGACUUUGAACAACUUCCUGCCCUGCUCUUGACUUCUCUUACCUAUUAUGUCCAAUGAGGAAGUUGGACCAUAUGACCUCUGAGGUCUCUGUUAGUCCUCCAUCCCAUUCCAACCCACAUGCCUUUUCAAACUUCAGUCCCAUCAGGCUGAGAAAACUCUGCCAGGUAAACAAUUUCCCUGGGGGGGGGCAGUGCCCAGCUAACUAGUUCAAUCUUUCCCCUAAGCCUUUGUGGAUUGACCUCCCAGGACCAGAAGUAUUCCCCCACCGACACCACAUGUGAAUGACCCCUGGGGAUCCCAGCAGACUCCAAGGUAAAGGCCUGAACAUUCAUUGAGUACCAAUUGAGAAUUAUUUUCUACAGGUGUGCAGGGGUCUUGGGGCUUGAGCUCUCAGUGGCCACUGGGCUUUUCUCCUUAGGCAGAGGAGCCUCUACUAGGCUUUGACUAUGUCCCAUGGCAUCUCUGUCUUGUCUCCCUUCUUUCCCAUCCAUUGCCAGCCCUCGGGAGACCCGGAGACAAGCAGAGCUUGUUCUGGCUGGGUGGCAUCCCAAGGAGAGCCCAUGAAUAGUGUUGACAGCACCCACAUAAGUAAGGCUGCAUUUCUUCUCCUGACAACCCAGUUCCAUCCUCCAUCUGCCCACAGUGUGCAUUAUACCCUCUCCUCUGACUAGAGUCAGCUCCCCAUAUCUCCCUACUCUCUGACUCCAUUCUCAAACCAUCCCCAACUCAUUUCCAUCUCCCCAGUUGCUACUGCCUGUGUUUGGAGAUACAGGGGGUGGUGGUGGAGGUAGGGUAUCACAUUGACUGCUGCCAUCCCUAGAGAGAUUGGGCCCCAAUGGAGAGGGUCUCAGGGACCAGGACUGAUGUUUGGUGACCCUCAGAUGAGUUGUCUGUCCAGAUACGCCCCAGUUGCCCCUUUAAAAAUCCCUUAACUUUAGUAUAUUCUGAUAAAGGAGGGCUCUAAUAUGGCCUCUGUCUAUUCAUAUCCCAGGGUCCUCCUCCUUUAUCACUCUUAUUCCCUGUUUAUGACAUCUUAUUCUCUUUACAAUAUUCUAUACGAAAUGAUAUUUUGCUCUUCAGAUAUUUCUUAAUUGUAAAACUCUUCCAUAUAAAGUAAAAUUAGUAUUUAUGUAUAUGAACAUGAAAUAGAUGACAAUUCUUAUAUAAAGAAUUUAAGUGUGCUACUAUUCUCUAAGCAUUAUGUUCUUUUUCUAUAAAUAUGACUACAUACAUAUUCACUCUAUUCAUGUAUUUGACUCAUUCUUCAUCAAUGAGUAUUCAUAAUAUAUUAUUUUGUACCAUUCCCGUAUCACUAAGGUGAUAACUAAAGACUCCACAAAUCUCUAUGGGUAACUGCCAGCCCUGCCUCUUGUAUGAGGUCACUAUGGGUUUUCAUAGUGACCUCAAAGCUGUGAUGCUUGGCUAGUGAAAGAGAUCUUCACCAAAGGUGUAAGGCAGCUACACUUGGAGGGAGGGAGGGAGAGAGAAAGAGAGAGAGAAAGAGAGAGAGAGAGAGAGAGAGAGAGAGAGAGAGAGAGAGAGAGAGAGAGAGAGAGAGAGAGAGAGAGAGAGAGAGAGAGAGAGAGAGAGAGAGAGAGAAAACUGGGUUCACCGGUCAAUUUCUGCACCUUCCUAACUGUGAUCUUAGGUAAGUCCCUAGCCUGCCAGCUCAUGACUUGCUUCACCCAUUUUGACUAAUGGGGAAUUGGGGCAAGAUGAUAUCAGAGGCCUCUUUUAGCCCUCCAUCGAAUCCAGUCCUAUAAGCCUUUUCAAAAUCCAGCCUCAAGGCACUGAGAUUUCUCUGUAGAGAAAUAUUGCCUUUUUCAGUGAUCUAAGUCAUUAAUUUAGGUAUCUAUUUAUCUAUCCAUCCAUCUUUCCACCUAUCCAUCUGUCUAUCUAUCUCUAUUCAUGUAUUGAUCCAUCUAGCCAUCUAAUGUACAUCAAUCCAUUCAUCUAGCUAGCUAUCCACCUCUAUCAAUCCAUCCAUCUAUGUCUCCAUCUCUAUCUCUCCAUCCAUCUGCCCUUCUGUCUGUCCAUCAAUUGAACCAUCCAGGCAUGUAUCUAUCCAUCUAUCGAUCCACCUACUGUUGGUCAUCCUCUUUCAUAUACAGUAAAUACUAGUAUUUAUGUGUCUGAAUUUGAAAACAGGGGACAAUUCUUUUUGAAGAGAAUUGAGUGGUGGCUCUAUUCUCUGUAGAAGUUUUCUCAAGUUAUUGCUCUAUUAAUCCUCUAAUUCUUCUCUCUGUGUUCAGGAGACCUUAAGGUUUCUCUAGAUCUCUCUGUCUCUCUCUGUCUCUGUCUCAGGUAUCUGUAUAUUCCUUGUGAUACUCUUCCAUAAACAAUAAACUUAAGUGUAUGUAUAUGCAUAUGAAAUAGAUGACCAUUGUACAGGAAGUGACCUGAAAGGUACUCCUGUUCUCUAUCUUCAGUAUUCCUGUAUUGUUUCUCUACUCUUAGGAAUGACACCUAUGUUCAUCCUCUAUUAAUGAAUUUGAGCCAUUCUUCAUGAGUGAGUAUUCAUGAUAUCUUCUUGUUGAUUUCCUUUCCCUUGAGCGGAUUCUACAAGUCAAGCCGGCCAGAAAACCCCUAUUUCUUUGUGAAUCCUGGCAGCUGUCCCUCUUUGUGGGUGUGGAGGCAACAGCCCCAAACACAGUAUUGAAUUGUAUGAGGUCACUAUGGGCGCUCUUUGUGACCUAAAGGCUGUGAUGCUUGUGUGGUGGAGGAGAAGGGCUAUGUGAGCUGGGCUGGCAGGAAGAGACCUAGAGAGAGAGGUGUGCUCCCAGGUGUCUCUCUGCCCCUUCCUGACUGUGUGAUCUUGGCAGAGCACCUGCCCUGCCCUGCCCUGCCCUGCCCUGCCCUGCCUUUGCCCUCCAAAGAGGAAAGUGGAGCAGAGGACCUCUGAGAUGUCUCUUAGCCCAUCACCCUACAAGCUCUUUCAGAUCCAAGCCCCAUGGCGCUGAGAAAUGUGCCUGGCUGCUGUUUUCCCUUGGGGCACCAUCUGAGUAGCUAGUUCAGUCUUUGUGCAGAGCUGCUAGCUUGGAAGAGGACCAUGGGUCUUUGUGAAUUGGGCUGUAGCACCGGCGCUUCCCACUCCCCUCUCCCGGCCCCGAACCUCCAUCCCCAACCCCCACGGCAUUGGUGAUUGGCCGCCCGCGAGCCCAGAGCAGGUGAAGGCGAAGGUUCGAACGUUGCUUGGAUAACAGUUGCGAACUACAUUCGACGGGUGUCCAGGGGUCUUGGGGCUUGAGCUCUCAAUGGCCACUGGGCUUCUCUCCUUAGGCAGCGGAGCCUCUACUAGGCUUUGACUGGGUCCCAUGGCGUCUCUGUCUUGUCUCUCUUCUCUCCCAUCCAUUGCCAGCCCUCGGGAGACCCGGAGACAAGCUGAGCUGAGUUCUAGCUGGAGGUGCGGCGCUGAGCGCGCGAGUGUUGACGUCAGCACCCAUUCGGUUAGGCUCCCUUUCUUCUCCCGCCAACCCAGCCCCAACUUCCAUUCGCCCCCACCAUGCAGCACACCCCCUUCCCUCUGCCUAGAUUCAGCUCUGCAAGCCUGCCGACUCUGUCCCGGACUCUGUGCCCUCCCGCCCACUCCUUUCCCUCUCCCCAGUGGCUGCUGCCCAUCCCUGGCGCUGGACAUGGAUGGAAGGGACCACAGACACCAGCACAGAUGCCUAGGGACCCUCAGCUGUCUCUCCAGCUUCCAUUACUCUCUAAAACCUCCCAGUUGGAAGGCUCCCAUAUGUCCUCAGUCUAUUCCUGUCAAGGGCUCCUCUUCCCCUCCCUGUCUCUAAUCUCUGUCCCUCUCUUUCUCUCUCUCUCUCUGUCCCUCUCUCUCUCUCUCUCUCUCUCUCUCUCUCUCUCUCUCUCUCUCUCUCUCUCCCUCUCUCUCUCUCUUCUCUCUGUCCCUCUCUCGGCUUAGGAGUCUGUAAAGCUUCUCUGUACAGUCCUUCAUACAGUAGGAUAUUGUCUAUUUGAAUUAUGUGAUUCCUAUUCCUGAUUUUAUUCUUUCAUAUAGAGCAAAGAUUUGCACUCCUCUAUAUGAAUAUGGAAUGUGACAACUCCUAGGAAGAGGAGAGAAGGAUAGUCUUCCUCCACAGGAGUACACAGUCCCUCUUGGUGUAUAGGGCUCAUCCUCCCUGAGGAGUCAUUAUAUGUUCUCAUGUGUAUUCCUUUACGUAUUUAUAUUCUCCAUAUGUUCUCCCCCUUUGGUCCUCUCCAUAGGAGAAGAGGUGUAUAAUAUGUCAGAUUCUCUGAGGUGAUUGUGCCGCGGUGAGUAUUGCUGUGUGGGUUUCUUGUACAACAACAUCUCUUUAUCCAACUUUAUAAGAAAGAGGCUGGAAUAUGACCAGCUGGGAGGGGUUUUUACAGGCUCCAGGUUCUUCUGUUUGGCUUCCCUUUUUCUUUGCACCACUGCCAGUCUCUUCUCAAAUCAAUGAGUGGCUUCAGGAGACCAUGAUGGAUAUUUUGGGUCCAGGACUUUAGUAGUUCUCCCCUGGGGGGUCCUUUUUACAGCUCUGAUCUGGCUUCUGGCCUCAUGGCCUUUCUCUUUAGGCUGGUUACCUGUUGAGGUCCAUGAGGCUAAUGCAGUGUGCAUGCUGGGGCAGAACCUUUCUGCUUGGGUUGGGCACAGCCCCACAAACCUGUCCACUCUAAGAAUGGAAAGGGCAGCUUUCCACUGAGCUCUGGAGAAGGGGCAGCAGCAGCAGCAGCAGCAGCAGCAGGAGGCUUUCUGACUCUCCUCAUUGCCCUAGAAUCCUAGCGCAGCCCAAGGAGAUGCCUUUGUCUAGCAUCCAAGUCCUCCCUCUGCUCUGCCCAUCACCUCCACCUUCUUUCCAAUCCUUGAAAGCCCAGGAAGUUUGGACCUGCUGAUCAAGUAAGUGCUGCUGGUCCUCUUAGUGGAUUCAGCCCAUCUCCAUGGAGCCUUCCUUGACCACUGCCUGUCCAAGGUUCUCCCACUUGGGCCAGCUCUUGGCCAGGACUUCCACAUUCAGCUUAGGAAAGGCUCUCCUCUCCUGUCCCUCGUUGGGCUUGGGGUGCAACAGGUGAUGGCCAUCCCCCUUCUUUCACUCAUGGAAGAAACCCAUGCUGAGAUGCUGUGGGAUUUGCUCAGACUCCCCCUGCUAAGUGUCCAUCCCAGACUGACCCAAGGCUCAGGAUUUGUUUUAUGACUUUCACUUAACACUCUGGCCAUAACUAAAGACUUCUAGAAAUUCUAUUUUCAUGAAUAAAAUGAUAGCCCUGACUCUUUUUUUGUGCAGACACAACAGCUCAACUCCAAAGUAUUUUAUUGAAUAAUGUUACUAUGGGCUUUCUUUGUGACCUCAAGCCUGUGAUGCCUGAUUGGGGACCAUGGCCAAGGUGUAAUACAGUAGACUUGCAGAGAGAAAGAGAACUCAGUUCACAGCCUUUGUGGAUUGACCUCCCAGGAGCAGAAGUGUUCCCCCACCGACACCACAUGUGAAUGACCCCUGGGGAUCCUAGCAGAGUCCAAGCCCUCUGGAGACCCGGAGACAAGCAGAGCUUGUUCUGGCUGGGUGGCACCCCAAGGAGAGCCCAUAAAUAGUGUUGACAGCACCCACAUAAGUAAGGCUGCAUUUCUUCUCCUGACAACCCAGUUCCAUCCUCCAUCUGCCCACAGUGUGCAUUAUACCCUCUCCUCUGACUAGAGUCAGCUCCCCAUAUCUCCCUACUCUCUGACUCCAUUCUCAAACCAUCCCCAACUCAUUUCUAUCUCCCCAGUUGCUACUGCCUGUGUUUGGAGAUACAGGGGGUGGUGGUGGAGGUAGGGUAUCACAUUAACUGCUGCCAUCCCUAGAGAGAUUGGGCCCCAAUGGAGAGGGUCCCAGGUACCAGGACUGAUGUUUGGUGACCCUCAGUUGAGUUGUCUGUCCAGAUGCCCCCCAGUCACCCCUUUAAAAAUCCCUUAACUUUAGUAUAUUCUGAUAAAGGAGGGCUCUAAUAUGGCCUCUGUGUAUUCAUAUCCCAGGGUCCUCCUCCUUUAUCACUCUUAUUCCCUGUUUAUGACAUCUUAUUCUCUUUACAAUAUUCUAUACGAAAUGAUAUUUUGCACUUCAGAUAUAUAUUAAUUGUUAAACUCUUCCAUAUAAAGUAAAAUUAGUAUUUAUGUAUAUGAACAUGAAAUAGAUGACAAUUCUUAUAUAAAGAAUUUAAGUGUGCUCCUAUUCUCUAAGCAUUAUGUUCUUUUUCUAUAAAUAUGAGUACAUACAUAUUCACUCUAUUCAUGUAUUUGACUCAUUCUUCAUCAAUGAGUAUUCAUAAUAUAUUAUUUUGUACCAUUCCCGUAUCACUAAGGUGAUAACUAAAGACUCCACAAACCCCUAUGGGUAACUGCCAGCCCUGCCUCUUGUAUGAGGUCACUAUGGGUUUUCAUAGUGACCUCAAAGCUGUGAUGCUUGGCUAGUGAAAGAGAUCUUCACCAAAGGUGUAAGGCAGCUACACUUGGAGGGAGGGAGGGAGAGAGAAAGAGAGAGAGAAAGAGAGAGAGAGAGAGAGAGAGAGAGAGAGAGAGAGAGAGAGAGAGAGAGAGAGAGAGAGAGAGAGAGAGAGAGAGAGAGAGAAAACUGGGUUCACAGGUCAAUUUCUGCACCUUCCUAACUGUGAUCUUAGGUAAGUCCCUAGCCUGCCAGCUCAUGACUUCCUUCACCCAUUUUGGCUAAUGGGGAAUUGGGGCAAGAUGAUAUCAGAGGCCUCUUUUAGCCCUCCAUCGAAUCCAGUCCUAUAAUCCUUUUCAAAAGCCAGCCUCAAGGCACUGAGACUUCUCUGUAGAGAAAUAUUGCCUAUUUCAGUGAUCUAAAUCAGUAAUUUAGGUAUCUAUUUACCUAUCUAUCCAUCCUUCCACCUAUCCAUCUGUCUGUCUAUCUCUAUUCAUGUAUUGAUCCAUCUAGCCAACUGUACAUCAAUCCAUUCAUCUAGCUAGCUCUCCAUCUCUAUCAAUCCAUCCAUCUAUGUCUCCAUCUCAAUCAAUCCAUCCAUCUAUGUCUCCAACUCUAUCUAUCCAUCCAUUUGGCCUUCUGUCUGUCCAUCAAUUUAUCCAUCCAGGCAUGUAUCUAUCCGUCUAUCGAUCCACCUACUCUUGGUCAUCCUCUUUCAUAUACAGUAAAUACUAGUAUUUAUGGAUCUGAAUUUGAAAACAGGGGACAAUUCUUUUUGAAGAGAAUUGAAUGGUGGCUCUAUUCUCUGUAGAAGUUUUCUCAAGUUAUUGCUCUAUUAAUACUCUAAUUCUUCUCUCUUGUUUGUGCUCAGGAGAUCUUAAGGUUUCUCUUGUUCUCUCCCUCUUCUCUCUCUGUCUCUGUCUCAUGUAUCUGUAUAUUCCUUGUGAUACUCUUCCAUAAACAAUAAACUUAAGUGUAUGUAUAUGCACAUGAAAUAGAUGACCAUUUUACAGGAAGUGAACUGAAAGGUACUCCUGUUCUCUAUCUUCAGUAUUCCUGUUUUGUUUCUCUACUCUUAGGAAUGACACCUAUGUUCACCCUCUAUUAAUGAAUUUGAGCCAUUCUUCAUGAGCAGCAGAACUUCUACUAGGCUUUGACUGGGUCCCAUGGCAUCUCUGUCUUGUCCCUCUUCUCUCCCAUCCAUUGCCAGCCCUCGGGAGACCCGGAGACAAGCGGAGCUGAGCGCGCGAGUGUUGACGUCAGCACCCCUUCGGUGAGGCUCCCUUUCUUCUCCCGCCAACCCAGCCACAACUUCCAUUCGCCCCCACCAUGCAGCACACCCCCUUCCCUCUGCCUAGAUUCAGCUCUGCAAGCCUGCCGACUCUGUCCCGGACUCUGUGCCCUCCCGCCCACUCCUUUCCCUCUCCCCAGUGGCUGCUGCCCAUUCCUGGCGCUGGACAUGGAUGGAAGGGACCACAGACACCAGCACAGAUGGGAAGGGACCCUCAGUUGUCUAUCCAGCUUCCAUUGCUCUCUAAAACCUCCCAGUUGGAAGGCUCCCAUAUAUCCUCAGUCUAUUUCUGUCAAGGGGCUUCUCUUCCCCUACCUGUCUCUUCUCUCUGUCCCUCUCUCUUUCUGCUUAGGAGACUGUAAAGCUUCUCUGUACAGUCCUCCAUGCAGUAGGAUAUUGUCUACUUGAAUUAUGUGAUUCGUAUUCCUGAUUUUAUUCUUUCAUAUAGAGCAAAGAUUUGCACUCCUCUAUAUGAAUAUGGAAUGUGACAACUCCUAGGAAGAGGAGAGAAGGAUAGUCUUCCUCCACAGGAGUACACAGUCCCUCUUGGUAUAUAGGGCUCAUCCUCCCUGAGGAGUCAUUAUAUGUUCUCAUGUGUAUUCCUUUACAUAUUUAUAUUCUCCAUAUGUUCUCCCCCUUUGGUCCUCUCCAUAGGAGAAGAGGUGUAUAAUAUGUCAGAUUCUCUGAGGUGAUUGUGCCGCGGUGAGUAUUGCUAUGUGGGUUUCUGGUACAACAACAUCUCUUUAUCCAACUUUAUAAGAAAGAGGCUGGAAUAUGACCAGCUGAGAGGGGUUUUUACAGGCUCCAGGUUCUUCUGUUUGGCUUCCCUUUUUCUUUGCAACACUGCCAGUCUCUUCUCAAAUCAAUGAGUGGCUUAAGGAGACAAUGAUGGAUAUUUGGGGUCCAGGACUUUAGUAGUUCUCCCCUGGGGGGUCCUUUUUACAGCUCUGAUCUGGCUUCUGGCCUCAUGGCCUUUCUAUUUAGGCUGGUUGCCUGUUGAGGUCCAUGAGGCUAAUGCAGUGUGCAUGGUGGGGCAGAACCUUUCUGCUUGGGUUGGGCACAGCCCCACAAACCUGUCCACGUUAAGAAUGGAAAUGGCAGCUUUCCACUGAGCUCUGUUGAAGGGGCAGCAGCAGCAGCAGCAGCAGCAGCAGCAGGCUUUCUGACUCUCCUCAUUACCCUAGAAUCCUAGGGCAGCCCAAGCAGAUGCAUUUGUCUAGCAUCCAAGUCCUCCCUCUGCUCUGCCCAUCACCUCCACCUUCUUUCCAAUCCUUGAAAGCCCAGGAAGUUUGGACCUGCUGAUCAAGUAAGUGCUGCUGGUCCUCUUAGUGGAUUCAGCCCCUCUCCAUGGAGCCUUUCUUGACCACUGCCUGUCCAAGGUUCUCCCACGUGGGCCAGUUCUUGGCCAGGACUUCCACAUUCAGCUUAGGAAAGGCUCUCCUCUCCUCUCCCUCGUUAGGCUUGGGGUGCAACUGGUGAUGGCCAUCCCCCUUCUUUCACUGAUGGAAGAAACCCAUGCUGAGAUGCUGUGGGGUUUGCUCAGACUCCUCCUGCUAAGUGUCCAUCCUGGGGCUUUUUCUUUCCACCUGACUCCUCCAGGCAAAAAUCAGACUCCAAGAACCAGUAUUUUCAUGGAUAAUCUGCCAGCCGUGCCUCUUUUUUUGUGGAGGCAGCAUCUGGACAGCAAAGUAUUUUAUUCUGUAUUCAGUCGAUAUGAACCUCCUAAGUGACCUCCAGUGAUGCCUGCCCAUUGGAGGAGAUAGAGGCCCAGGUGUAAGACAGCUAGGCUUGCAGGAAGAGAGAUAGAGAAGGGUGGGGGGCAGUAGGUGGAGGCGGGGCAGAGAGAGGGAGGGAGCUGGACUCAUAGGCCUGUUUCUGCCCCUUCCUGGCUCUGUGAUCAUAGCCAAGUUCCUGGCCUGGCUUGGGCUUCCCUUCUCUACUGUGACCAGUUGAGGAAGUCUGAUUAGAUGACCCUUGAGGGCUCUUUUCUGUUAGGCCUCCAUCCCAUACCAACAUACAAGCCCUUUCAGACACACUGGAACCCCACCUCCCUGAGAGCACUCUAAGAGGUUACUGGUUUCUUUUGGGUGCUGUCCCCACUAGCUAGGACAGUGGUUUGAAGCUUUAUCCCUUGGAAUAAAACCCAUGGGUCUUUGUGGACCUGCCUCCAUCAUGAGAGGUUUCCCCCCAAUCUUCUGUGUCCAGCCUCCUUUGAGCUUAAAGGCAUUGACCAUGAAGGUCCUAAUGUUUGUUAGGUUCCAGUUGCAAAUUUCUAUCAGUUUGAUAGGUGUCCUGGGGCUUGAGAUGAGGGGCCAUUGGUCUUUUCUCCUUAAGACCUGAGCCUCCAAGUAGGCUUUGAGUGCAUUCCAUGGCAUCUCUCACUUUUAUCCAGUUCCAGCCCUUGAGGGACUAGGAGAGGAGACCACAAGACAAGUUCAGCUCAGCUCAGAUUGGGUGACACACUCCCACCCCCACUUCCACCCCCAGCACCCAUGAAUGGUGUCAUUAGCAUCUUCCUUGGUAAGGCUGCUUAUCUUCUCCCAACAAUCCCACCCCAUCCUCCAUUCACCCCCCACCAUGUAUUCCCAGCCUUCCCUCUGCCUAGACUCAGUGUCCCAUGCCUCCCUAGUCUCUCAGACUACAUUCCUUGCUACUCUCCCAACCCCCUCCCAAUCCUUUCCACCUCCUUAAUUGCUGCAGCCUGUGGGGGUUUUCUGACUACUGCUGCCAUUCCUGGAUGAAAACCUGAAGCCUGGUGACCCACAGCUGUUUGGCCAUCUAUCCCUCUGUCACCCCUGAAAAAGAACCUGGCAUGUUGCCUGCUCAUGAAGGAGGGCUCCUAUAGGUUUUCUGUCUACUCCUGUGCAGGGAUUGGUUUCCUUUUUCUCUCUCACUUCCUGCUGAGAGGACCUAAUGAUUUUCCUUUCAAUCUUAUCAGCAGAAAAAUAUUGCCUACUUGAGUGUUCUAUGACACUAUUCUAUCUAUCUAUCUAUCUAUCUCUCUCUAUCUAUUUAUCUAUCUAUCCAUCCUUCCACCUAUCCAUCUAUCUAUCUCUAUUCAUGUAUUGAUCCAUCUAGCCAUUUAAUGUACAUCAAUCCAUUCAUCUAGCUAGCUAUCCAUCUCUAUCAAUCCAUCCAUCUAUGUCUCCAUCUCUAUCUAUCCAUCCAUCUGCCCUUCUGUCUGUCCAUCAAUUUAUCCAUCCAGCCAGGUAUCUAUCUGUCUAUCAAUCCACCUACUCUUGGUCAUCCUCUUUCAUAUACAGUAAAUACUAGUAUUUAUGGAUCUGAAUUUGAAAAUAGGGGACAAUUCUUUUUGAAGAGAAUUGAGUGGUGGCUCCAUUCUCUGUAGAAGUUUUCUCAAGUUAUUGCUCUAUUAAUCCUCUAAUUCUUCUCUCUGUUUGUGCUCAGGUUACCUUAAGGUUUCUCUUGUUCUCUCCGUCUCUCUCUGUCUCUGUCUCAGGUAUCUGUAUAUUCCUCGUGAUGCUCUUCCAUAAACAAUAAACUUAAGUGUAUGUAUAUGCAUAUGAAAUAGAUGACCAUUUUACAGGAAGUGAACUGAAAGGUAUCUUUAUCUUCAGUAUCUCUAUCUUCAGUAUUCCUGUAUUGUUUCUCUACUGUUAGGAAUGACACCUAUGUUCACCCUCUAUUAAUGAAUUUGAGCCAUUCUUCAUGACCCUCGGGAGACCCGGAGACAAGCGGAGCUGAGCGCGCGAGUGUUGACGUCAGCACCCCUUCGGUGAGGCUCCCUUUCUUCUCCCGCCAACCCAGCCCCAACUUCCAUUCGCCCCCACCAUGCAGCACACCCUCUUCCCUCUGCCUAGAUUCAGCUCUGCAAACCUGCCGACUCUGUCUUGGACUCCAUGCCCUCCCGCCCACUCCUUUCCCUCUCCCCAGGGGCUGCUGCCCAUCCCUGGCGCUGGACAUGGAUGGAAGGGACCACAGACACCAGCACAGAUGCCAAGGGACCCUCAGCCGUCUCUCCAGCUUCCAUUACUCUAUAAAACCUGCCAGUUGGAAGUCUCCUUUAUGUCCUCAGUGUAUUCCUGUCAAGGGCUCCUCUUCUCCUCCCUGUCUCUUCUCUCUGUCCCUCUCUCUCUCUCUCUCUCUCUCUCUCUCUCUCUCUCUCUCUCUCUCUCUCUCUCUCUCUCUCUCUCUCUCUCUCUCUCUCUCUCUCCUCUCUGUCCCUCUCUCUUUCUGCUUUGGAGACUGUAAAGCUUCUCUGUACGGUCCUCCAUGCAGAAGGAUAUUGUCUACUUGAAUUAUGUGAUUCGUAUUCCUGAUUUUAUUCUUUCAUAUAGAGCAAAGAUUUGCACUCCUCUAUAUGAAUAUGGAAUGUGACACCUCCUAAGAAGAGUAGAGAAGGAUAGUCUUCCUCCACAGGAGUACACAUUCCCUCUUGGUGUAUAGGACUCAUCCUCCCUGAGGAGUCAUUAUAUGUUCUCCUGAGUAAUCCUUUACAUAUUUAUAUUCUCCAUAUGUUCUCCCCCUUUGGUCCUCUCCAUAGGAGAAGAGGUGUAUAAUAUGUCAGAUUCUCUGAGGUGAUUGUGCCGCGGUGAGUAUUGCUGUGUAGGUUUCUGGUACAACAGCAUCUCUUUAUCUAACUUUAUAAGAGGCUGGAAUAUGACCAGCUGAGAGGGGUUUUUACAGGCUCCAGGUUCUAUUAAUCCUCUAAUUCUUCUCUCUGUUUGUGCUCAGGAGACCUUAAGGUUUCUCUUGUUCUCUCUGUCUCUCUCUGUCUCUGUCUCAGGUAUCUGUAUAUUCCUUGUGAUACUCUUCCAUAAACAAUAAACUUAAGUGUAUGUAUAUGCAUAUGAAAUAGAUGACCAUUUUACAGGAAGUGAACUGAAAGGUACUCCUGGUCUCUAUCUUCAGUAUUCCUGUAUUGUUUCUCUACUCUUAGGAAUGACACCUAUGUUCACCCUCUAUUAAUGAAUUUGAGCCAUUCUUCAUGAGUGAGUAUUCUUGAUAUCUUCUUGUUGAUUUCCUUUCCCUUGAACCGGAUUCUACAAGUCAAGCCUGCCAGAAAACCCCUAUUCCUUUGUGAAUCCUGGCAGCUGUCCCUCUUUGUGGGUGUGGAGGCAACAGCCCCAAACACAGUAUUGAAUUGUAUGAGGUCACUAUGGGCGCUCUUUGUGACGUCAAGCCUGUGAUGCUUGUGUGGUGGAGGAGAAGGGCUAUGUGAGCUGGGCUGGCAGGAAGAGACCUAGAGAGAGAGGUGUGCUCCCAGGUGUCUCUCUGCCCCUUCCUGACUGUGUGAUCUUGGCAGAGCCCCUGCCCUGCCCUGCCCUGCCCUGCCCUGCCCUUCCCUGCCCUGCCCUGCCCUGUACUGCCCUGCCUUUGCCCUCCAAAGAGGAAAGUGGAGCAGAGGACCUCUGAGAUGUCUCUUAGCCCAUCACCCUAGAAGCUCUUUCAGAUCCAAGCCCCAUGGCGCUGAGAAAUGUGCCUGGCUGCUGUUUUCUCUUGGGGCACCACCUAAGUAGCUAGUUCAGGCUUUGUGCAGAGCUGCCAGCUUGGAAUAGGACUAUGGGUCUUUGUGAAUUGGGCUGUAGCACCGGCGCUUCCCCCCCCACA